CCUACGGGAGGCAGCAGUGAGGAAUAUUGGUCAAUGGGCGCUAGCCUGAACCAGCCAAGUAGCGUGAAGGAUGACUGCCCUAUGGGUUGUAAACCUCUUUUGCCGGGGAGCAACGGGCGCCACGUGUGGCGCCACUGAGAGUACCCGGAGAAAAAGCAUCGGCUAACUCCGUGCCAGCAGCCGCGGUAAUACGGAGGAUGCGAGCGUUAUCCGGAUUUAUUGGGUUUAAAGGGUGCGUAGGCGGAGCGUUAAGUCAGUGGUAAAAUUGAGGGGCUCAACCCCUUCCCGCCAUUGAAACUGGCGCUCUUGAGUGGAAGAGAGGUAUGCGGAAUGCGUGGUGUAGCGGUGAAAUGCAUAGAUAUCACGCAGAACCCCGAUUGCGAAGGCAGCAUGCCGGCUUCCGACUGACGCUGAAGCACGAAAGCGUGGGGAUCGAACAGGAUUAGAUACCCCUGUAGUC
rnacentral:rRNA from 1 species